rnacentral:rRNA from 1 species
UACAGAGGUCUCAAGCGUUGCUCGGAAUCACUGGGCGUAAAGGGUGCGUAGGCGGGUCUUUAAGUCAGGGGUGAAAUCCUGGAGCUCAACUCCAGAACUGCCUUUGAUACUGAAGAUCUUGAGUUCGGGAGAGGUGAGUGGAACUGCGAGUGUAGAGGUGAAAUUCGUAGAUAUUCGCAAGAACACCAGUGGCGAAGGCGGCUCACUGGCCCGAUACUGACGCUGAGGCACGAAAGCGUGGGGAGCAAACAGG